rnacentral:tRNA from 1 species
GCCCACAUAGCUCAGUCGGUAGAGCGCGUUCUUGGUAAGAACGAGGUCAUGGGUUCGAAUCCCAUUGUGGGCU